rnacentral:tRNA from 1 species
UGAGGUUGUGCUCAGUGGUAGAGCGCUCACCUAACAUGUGUGAGGCACUGGGUUCGAUCCUCAGAACCACAU